rnacentral:rRNA from 1 species
CCCGGGCCUUGUACACACCGCCCGUCACACCACGAAAGUUGGUAACACCCGAAGCCAGUGCCAACCUCGGGAGGGAGCUGUCGAAGGUGGGAUCAGCGAUUGGGGUG